UGGACCCCACCGCCCCCCCUCCCCAACACACACAUCUCUGAGAAAGAAGAAGUGGCAGCCAGAACAGGGAACCAGAAGCCAAAACAAGGGAUGAAGGCAAGGGUCGCUUACGACCACGCCCCCACCCACACUUGACCCAGUGGGUCGAGGGGGAUUUUGAUACAGUGGCAGCUGGGAAGCCAAGAACAGAAAGCCUUUAAUCCGUGCAACCUAAUGCCAAGAUUCCGCCAGAGAGAGCCCAUUUCCUGCGCUGUCUGCACAUUCCUCCCAUUCUUCCCGAGCACCUUCUCCCAGUGACCCCUCUCCAUGCAGCCUCUGUUCUCCCCCCACGGCUAACUGCUCCUUUCUUCUAGAAAACAAGUCCUGUGGCCAGAAGGAUUCCAUAUACUUCUGCUUUCUCUUCGAGAUCCCCAGGUCCUUAGGAGCUUUUCCUUUCUCCUCCGGAUGCUUCGUUUGGCCUCUGCCACACACCAGGGCAUCGCCGGGAUGCGCGGGGACAAAGCAUCGUAGCCACUUUUAAGGUCCCUGCCCAGACCACGACUCUCGGAACCGUUGGCCAUACCAGCAGAGUGAGGCCCCAACACUGUGUUUAUACUUCGUGACCCCAGACGUGGACUGUAGGUGACUGCACAAGAGAUGGACAGCUGUCCAGGUGAGCCAAUCUGAUUCUCCCUCCCCAGAAUUUGAAACUGGGUCAGGUUGGGUCAAAGUUGGUCUCUGUUAGACCUGAGGUAGUCAUACUGGCUCAGAGGACAGAGAGGUCAGAGCACCAGGCCCUCCCCCGGCUCCCCUCUGCACCCUUACCGUGUUCCCCUACAAUAUAUUGCCCCCAUUAAAAGUUUUUUUUAAUGGUUAUUUGUUUUUGAGAAAGAGAGCACAAGCAGAGGAGGGGCAGAGGAAGAAGGGGACAGGGGACCCGAAGCAGGCUCUGUGCUGACAGCAGACAGCCCAACAUGGGGCUCAAACUCAUGUAUCACAAGGUC
rnacentral:lncRNA from 1 species